rnacentral:rRNA from 1 species
UACGUAGGGGGCAAGCGUUAUCCGGAUUUACUGGGUGUAAAGGGAGCGUAGACGGCAAGGCAAGUCUGAUGUGAAAACCCAGGGCUUAACCCUGGGACUGCAUUGGAAACUGUCUGGCUCGAGUGCCGGAGAGGUAAGCGGAAUUCCUAGUGUAGCGGUGAAAUGCGUAGAUAUUAGGAAGAACACCAGUGGCGAAAGCGGCUUACUGGACGGUAACUGACGUUGAGGCUCGAAAGCGUGGGGAGCAAACAGG